UACGUAGGGGGCAAGCGUUGUCCGGAAUCAUUGGGCGUAAAGAGCGUGUAGGCGGCUCGGUAAGUCCGCUGUGAAAGUCCAGGGCUCAACCCCUGGAAUGCCGGUGGAAACUGUCGAGCUAGAGUCCGGAAGAGGCGAGUGGAAUUCCUGGUGUAGCGGUGAAAUGCGCAGAUAUCAGGAGGAACACCAAUGGCGAAGGCAGCUCGCUGGGACGGUACUGACGCUGAGACGCGAAAGCGUGGGGAGCAAACAGG
rnacentral:rRNA from 1 species